rnacentral:tRNA from 1 species
GGAGGGAUGGCUCAGCAGUUAAGAGUACUGACUGCUAUUCCAGAGGACCUGGGUUCAAUUCCCACACCCACCU